GAGCAAUCCUGGCGGCGAGUGGCGAAGGGUGAGUAAUACAUCGGAACAUGUCCAGUAGUGGGGGAUAGGAGGCGAAAGCCGGAUUAAUACCGCAUACGAUCUAUGGAUGAAAGCGGGGGAUCGCAAGACCUCGCGCUAUUGGGGGGGGGUGGCGGAUUAGCUAGUUGGUGGGGUAAAGGCCCACCAAGGCGACGAUCCGUAGCUGGUCUGAGAGGACGACCAGCCACACUGGGACUGAGACACGGCCCAGACUCCUACGGGAGGCAGCAGUGGGGAAUUUUGGACAAUGGGCGCAAGCCUGAUCCAGCAAUGCCGCGUGUGUGAAGAAGGCCUUCGGGUUGUAAAGCACUUUUGUCCGGAAAGAAAUCCUGAUGGCUAAUAUCCGUCGGGGAUGACGGUACCGGAGAUUUAGCACCGGCUAACUACGUGCCAGCAGCCGCGGUAAUACGUAGGGUGCGAGCGUUAAUCGGAAUUACUGGGCGUAAAGCGUGCGCAGGCGGUGAUGUAAGACCGAUGUGAAAUCCCCGGGCUUAACCUGGGAACUGCAUUGGUGACUGCAUCGCUGGAGUAUGGCAGAGGGGGGUAGAAUUCCACGUGUAGCAGUGAAAUGCGUAGAGAUGUGGAGGAAUACCGAUGGCGAAGGCAGCCCCCUGGGCCAAUACUGACGCUCAUGCACGAAAGCGUGGGGAGCAAACAGGAUUAGAUACCCUGGUAGUCCACGCCCUAAACGAUGUCAACUGGUUGUCGGGCCUUCAUUUGGCUUGGGUAACAUAGCCUAACGCGAUGAAGUUGACCGCCUUGGGGAAGUACGGUCGCAGGAUUAAAAACUCAAAGGAAUUGACGGGAACCCGCACAAGCGGUGGAUGAUGUGAAUUAAUUCGAUGCACGCGAAAACUUUACCUACCCUGAACCGUUACGGAAGUCCGCUGAGAGGUGGAAUGUGCCGAAAGGAAGCAUAACACGGUGCAUGGCAUGCAUUCUGUAGACUGGUCGUGUGAAA
rnacentral:rRNA from 1 species